rnacentral:rRNA from 1 species
UGCCUAAUACAUGCAAGUCGAGCGGAAAUUUUAUUGGUGCUUGCACCUUUAAAAUUUUAGCGGCGGACGGGUGAGUAACACGUGGGUAACCUACCUUAUAGAUUGGGAUAACUCCGGGAAACCGGGGCUAAUACCGAAUAAUACUUUUUAACACAUGUUUGAAAGUUGAAAGACGGUUUCGGCUGUCACUAUAAGAUGGACCCGCGGCGCAUUAGCUAGUUGGUGAGGUAACGGCUCACCAAGGCAACGAUGCGUAGCCGACCUGAGAGGGUGAUCGGCCACACUGGGACUGAGACACGGCCCANACUCCUACGGGAGGCAGCAGUAGGGAAUCUUCCACAAUGGACGAAAGUCUGAUGGAGCANCGCCGCGUGAGUGAAGAAGGAUUUCGGUUCGUAAAACUCUGUUGCAAGGGAAGAACAAGUAGCGUANUAACUGGCGCUACCUUGACGGUACCUUGUUAGAAAGCCACGGCUAACUACGUGCCAGCAGCCGCGGUAAUACGUAGGUGGCAAGCGUUGUCCGGAAUUAUUGGGCGUAAAGCGCGCGCAGGUGGUUCCUUAAGUCUGAUGUGAAAGCCCCCGGCUCAACCGGGGAGGGUCAUUGGAAACUGGGGAACUUGAGUGCAGAAGAGGAUAGUGGAAUUCCAAGUGUANCGGUGAAAUGCGUAGAGAUUUGGAGGAACACCAGUGGCGAAGGCGACUGUCUGGUCUGUAACUGACACUGAGGCGCGAAAGCGUGGGGAGCAAACAGGAUUAGAUACCCUGGUAGUCCACGCCGUAAACGAUGAGUGCUAAGUGUUGGGGGGUUUCCGCCCCUCAGUGCUGCAGCUAACGCAU